CGUCUGCCGAAGCCAAUGGGGCGAAGAGCAUUAACUACAGUUUCAGACCUUGAUUUGGAAAGAUCAUAAUUAGCACAUUCAUUAAGGUGCGACUUCUGUUCCCUUUAAAAGGCGGAUUUGGCUCGGAUCAUGUAAUACAGGACUCUGGAUUCAUACCUCAAGACUGACAAUUUUGUAUGCGGAGCACAAAAGUGACUAUGGCUUGACUGCUUCUUGGUCUGUGCAAAUAUUUCUAAUGUUCAGAGGACUGUAUUAAGAUCAGUGGGUUCUACUCUAGCACUGAAGAGCAGAACCCACAACACCUUGAAAUCAGUGAAAAUAUUUCUCAGCAGUCAG
rnacentral:lncRNA from 1 species